rnacentral:ncRNA from 1 species
CAAGGAUAAAAACACGGCGCGGUUGGUAGUCCGCGCGCCGGGGAUCUCCCGGCCAGUAACCCUCCCUCCCAUGGGUCGUCCGUUCUUUGCAG